GCUUAGGACUAGCACAGGGAAUCUUGAACAGCUUAGAGAAAUAUUUAAAAAAUUCUAAAUUCUUUUCUUUUCUAAAUCCUAAAUUAAUGCGAACAUUCAUAAAGCCCGGUCGCCUUCUGCUCUACUUUGUGCAAGUAGGCAAAACAUGACGCUGGCAAUACACAAUAAUAACAAUAUAACGUAAGCAGACAAACAUUUGCAGAUCAUGAAAAUUCAAUAUCUCAUAUGCAGCAACCUAAUAACGCAACGAUUUGAACAAUGUAGUUCUGUGUCGCUUUUGAACAGUCCGCUAUCGGGAAACCGUUUAAACGUCCAGUUAGUUAAUCCAACGAAUUCAAGGUAUUUUUACGACGCGAUGCUGCCAAAGGCGCAUCACAGUUGCCUUGUGAUGGUCCUUUCAAGGUCUUGGAGUGACGAGAACUUUGCUAUUGAUAUCAACGGCAAAACAACAAAAUCCGUUUUCAUUCCGGCUGAAGAAGACAAUUUUCAAUCGACUAAUCAUUUUAAAAAUGGGAGUUCAAACAAUUGCGAACAGUCGACUCAAUUUGAUGAGGUUGAUUUACAUGCGUCGGAUGAUCGGGUUAAAAUUCGCAGGGGUAGACGCGUUCGAUUUCUGAAUAAAUUUCAAGCGGGUAUAUAAAUCACAUGUAAUCAUUAUAUAGUAGCACAAGUUUAUACUUAGGUUCAUGAAUUAGUAUGUUUUCUGGUUACUUUUUGCUUCAUAGUAGAUUUACGUAUUCACUUAGUUUUAGG